AUGCUUGUCUUGACAGCAUAUAUACUAAAAUUGGAACAAUGUAGAGAAAUUAACAUGACCCCCUGUGGAAGGAUGACACGCAAAUCUGUGAAGCAUUCUAUAUAUUU
ensembl:snRNA Gm24527 U6 spliceosomal RNA